GAUGAACGCUGGCGGCGUGCCUAAUACAUGCAAGUCGAGCGAACAGACGAGGAGCUUGCUCCUCUGACGUUAGCGGCGGACGGGUGAGUAACACGUGGAUAACCUACCUAUAAGACUGGGAUAACUUCGGGAAACCGGAGCUAAUACCGGAUAAUAUAUUGAACCGCAUGGUUCAAUAGUGAAAGACGGUUUUGCUGUCACUUAUAGAUGGAUCCGCGCCGCAUUAGCUAGUUGGUAAGGUAACGGCUUACCAAGGCAACGAUGCGUAGCCGACCUGAGAGGGUGAUCGGCCACACUGGAACUGAGACACGGUCCAUACUCCUACGGGAGGCAGCAGUAGGGAAUCUUACGCAAUGGGCGAAAGCCUGACGGAGCAACGCCGCGUGAGUGAUGAAGGUCUUCGGAUCGUAAAACUCUGUUAUUAGGGAAGAACAAAUGUGUAAGUAACUAAGCACGUCUUGACGGUACCUAAUCAGAAAGCCACGGCUAACUACGUG
rnacentral:rRNA from 1 species